AAUCAACGCUGGCGGCGUGCCUCAGACAUGCAAGUCGAACGCGAAAGUUCCCUUCGGGGGGCGAGUAGAGUGGCGCACGGGUGAGUAACACGUAGGUAAUCUACCUUUGGGUGGGGAAUAACAGCCGGAAACGGCUGCUAAUACCGCAUAAUGCAGCGGCUCGACAUCGAGACAGUUGUUAAAGCGGGGGAUCGCAAGACCUCGCGCCUAAAGAGGAGCCUGCGGCGGAUUAGCUUGUUGGUGAGGUAAUGGCUCACCAAGGCAUCGAUCCGUAGCCGGCCUGAGAGGGCGGUCGGCCACACUGACACUGACAUACGGGUCAGACUCCUACGGGAGCAGCAGUCGGGAAUUUUGGGCAAUGGCGCAAGCCUGACCCAGCAACGCCGCGUGAAGGAUGAAAUCCCUC
rnacentral:rRNA from 1 species